AAAUCAAGAGUCAGAUGCUCAACAAACUAAGCCACCUAGGCGCCCUCUACAACGCACCAUUCAAAUAACUACCUCUAGAGUCCAUCUUAUAUACUGUGCUAAUAACAAGUUACCCCAUGGGGUGCCUGGGUGACUGACGUUUGCAGAGCCUGCUUGGGAUUCUCUCUCUCUCCCUCUCCCUCUGCCCCUUCCCCACUUGCAUACUCUCGCUCUCUCUCUGAAAAUAAAAUAUACUAUACAUGGUUCACUAACUUUUAAUUUUUGACAAUCAUGAAGUGCACUUAAAUCAUUGAAAUAGGACUAGACAUGAUAUAACUUCCCUCCAGCAAGUUGGCAGUUAUGAUCCUACGGGGUCUCACAGUUACCAUUGUGAGCAUCAGUAAUUAUUGUUCCAUAGUAACCUAGAACGGUCAGGUGAUUAAAAAAUUUUUGCUGACAGAAGAUAAGACAAACUUGGUUCUAUUGGGUAUCAGAAGUUAUAAAAAGAAAAAAAGGGGGGGGGGUCAAGGGAGCAUUGACAGACCACUGCAUAAUGAAAUGUGUUACAGUCUAAUGGGAAACAUUGGCUCGAAUAGUGGGUGACUUCCUGAUUUCAUCACCUUCCAUAGUUGAUGUUUCCAUCUCUUAUUUUCUCUCUCUCACCCAUCUAUUAAACAGAUCUACACACGUUAAUAGGGACCCACACAAAUUUAGCCACUUCUUCCUCUAGUAAAUUAUACCAUAGAGCCAGAUUUAUUGUGAUCAUUUCUUCCCAUGUCUUGUUUUACGCCUGAGGUUUUACGCCUGAGGUUUGAGUCUGUAGAAGGCCAUGCAUUGCUAAAGGGAUGAAAGUCUUUGGAGAAAACAGAAGUUACCAAGACAAGCUAGCAGGGCAGAAUGUUUGUGUCUUCCACCAGGGGUCAGUAAAACUUUUAUAAGACUCCUAGGAUGGCAUCUAGACUUCCAUAAGGGCAACAUCUUGGUCACUCUUUGUCCCUCAGAAAGCAUUCACCAACAAGACGAUGUCCUGUCACUGGGAAUAGCAGUUCCAAGUUGUUAAACACGUACAACAAGCACAGUUAAAUAUAAAUAUGUAUGGCUUGGACUGUAUCAACUCUAUGUUAACAUCAUAGAGAGAACAUCAGCAUAUCAAGCACUGGAGUUUUAUUCUCAUAAAAAGAAUUCUCAAUUUAAACAUGCAGUUUUGAUAUAUACCAAGGCAAGCUAUCUUGCCUAAUUAGGAAUCACAGGCUGAAUGUCCAGUGACUAGACCUUAUGGCUCAACUCUGAUUGUCAUCAUUUCUGGGUCAUGAACACAAGACUUGAAGUUCUCCUUCCCUUCCUGGUUUGCUAUCCUGGUUUGCAAUAGUUGUUAUGCUAAGGAAUAAAGACUUUCGAAAAUAUGUACUAGAUACACCAACUUGCCUUCCUGCUUCCACUUUUGCCAUACUGUCAGCUAGAGGGAGCUGUGAAAAACGGAAGUCAUAUCCUAUUACUCCCCUGCUGAAAGUCUCCAAGGCCUACCCACCCCACAGAAAAUAAAAUGCCAACACUUCACCCACCUGUGGUGCCAGGGCAUGCUCAAUUUCCUGCAACUUCUCUGAUGUUAUCUAGUGACCCUCUUCCCUGCACUCAGCACACUCCCAAAACUGUAGCCUUUCUGCUGAUGCUCUCAGUGGUUCUCAAAGUGUGGUCCCUGGAUCUGCAGCAUCAGCAUCACCUGCGAAGCUGUUGGAAAGGCACAUUCUUGGGUCAUACCCCCAGAUCUACUGGAUCAGAAAACUCUGGGGGCAGGCCCCAUCCAUCUAUGUUUUCACCAACCCAUCUGGUGAUUCUGGUGACUGCUGAAGUUUGAAAACCCACCUCUAAUUUUUCAAACGCACUCCUGCCUCCAGACCUUUGUACCAGCCAGACACUUUCCCUGGUACACUCUUCCCAGGGCUCUUUCCUCAUCAACGAGAUGUCAGCUGAAAUGCUAGCUCCUCAGAGAGACUUUCACCAGCCACCUACUUAAAGUGAGUUUCCCUGCUCUCCUUCAUCCUACUCUAUGCCAUAAUCCUUUAAUUAGAACUAUUUGAAAUUAUCUGGCCUAUUUAGUUAUUUGCUCUCUUACUGUCUCCCCCCUCAGAAUGAGAGGAGACACCUUAUCUACUUUUUAUACCCUGGAUCCCAAGUAUCUAGAAGCGUGCCUUGUAUGUACAUAAGAAGUUCAUAAUAAAAGUUUCUUAAAUUAACGUCUGUGAGAUUUUUUCAAUCAGGCUGACUUAUAGAAAGGAGAUAAAUUAGACUCUCUACAGGGAGCUGCAGUAUUGUGGCAGAGCCCAGGGAUGGAGUCAGACGAUGAAUGUCAAAUUCUAAAUUCUCCACUUGAAAAUCACCUGACCUUGGAGAAUAAGGAUAGUACUCGUGCCCUGGAAACCUUGUGAGAUUACAGAGACCACGUAUAUAAAGUAGCUGGUUCAGGAUUUAACACACCUGUGGGAGAAUUGCCCUUGUUUGGCCUUUGGUCAGUUUUCCUGCUUGGCUGCCCUGCCCUACAGAGUCCUGAUGGGGCCUCUCGCUUCCGCUUCAGUUUUCCUUCCCUUUUCAGCCGGGUUGCCACUUCCUCCCUCCCCAGUCCAUCCCUUCUCCACCCCCUUGGUCUAAACAGGGCUUGUUUGUUUCAGGUGGCAAGGUAUCACCAAGUCCUACUCUGUGCUUUCCAGGUGGAAUCCUCAAGGCCUGAUAUUCAGAAACAGUAUGCUCCAGGUUUCCCUGAGUUUCCUGGCUCCUGGUUCCUGGUUGGGAAUCUUUCCACUCCUUCACAAUGUCCCAACUCUUUUCAGCCAUUUUGGUCUUUUCUGUCUUCUGCAACCAGUCAGUCAGCAUGUACCCAGGAGGGGCUCCAGCCUGCCAGGUAUACUUACUGUCAGAGACCCCAUCACACAUCACCAAAACAUGAUAUGUUUUGGUGCCCACAUCAAAUUAAAAAAAAAAAAAA